UACGGAGGGUGCGAGCGUUGUCCGGAAUCACUGGGCGUAAAGGGCGCGUAGGCGGCCCGUUAAGUGGCUGGUGAAAUCCCGCGGCUCAACUGCGGGGCUGCCGGUCAGACUGGCGAGCUAGAGCACGGUAGGGGCAGAUGGAAUUCCCGGUGUAGCGGUGAAAUGCGUAGAUAUCAGGAGGAACACCGGUGGCGAAGGCGGCUUUCUGGACAGAAACUGACGCUGAGGUGCGAAAGCUAGGGGAGCAAACGGG
rnacentral:rRNA from 1 species